rnacentral:rRNA from 1 species
GGGGAGCCGAAGGGAAACCGAGUCUUAACUGGGCGUUAAGUUGCAGGGUAUAGACCCGAAACCCGGUGAUCUAGCCAUGGGCAGGUUGAAGGUUGGGUAACACUAACUGGAGGACCGAACCGACUAAUGUUGAAAAAUUAGCGGAUGACUUGUGGCUGGGGGUGAAAGGCCAAUCAAACCGGGAGAUAGCUGGUUCUCCCCGAAAGCUAUUUAGGUAGCGCCUCGUGAAUUCAUCUCCGGGGGUAGAGCACUGUUUCGGCAAGGGGGUCAUCCCGACUUACCAACCCGAUGCAAACUGCGAAUACCGGAGAAUGUUAUCACGGGAGACACACGGCGGGUGCUAACGUCCGUCGUGAAGAGGGAAACAACCCAGACCGCCAGCUAAGGUCCCAAAGUCAUGGUUAAGUGGGAAACGAUGUGGGAAGGCCCAGACAGCCAGGAUGUUGGCUUAGAAGCAGCCAUCAUUUAAAGAAAGCGUAAUAGCUCACUGGUCGAGUCGGCCUGCGCGGAAGAUGUAACGGGGCUAAACCAUGCAC